ACCAGUGUGGUGUAGUGGUUUGGGUGCUGGACUAAUGCUCUGAUGACCAGGGUUCGACUCCCAGCUUGGCCA